AACCUCCGCAAUGUGAGAAAUCGCGACGGGGGGAUCCCAAGUGCCAUUCUUAACGGGAUGGCCUUUCAUUAGUGUAAAGAGCUUUUGGAAUAAGAGCUGGGCAAGACCGGUGCCAGCCGCCGCGGUAACACCGGCAGCUCUAGUGGUAGCAGUUUUUAUUGGGCCUAAAGCGUCCGUAGCCGGUUUAAUAAGUCUCUGGUGAAAUCCUGUAGCUUAACUGUGGGAAUUGCUGGAGAUACUAUUAGGCUUGAGAUCGGGAGAGGUUAGAGGUACUCCCAGGGUAGAGGUGAAAUUCUGUAAUCCUGGGAGGACCGCCUGUUGCGAAGGCGUCUAACUGGAACGAUUCUGACGGUGAGGGACGAAAGUUAGGGGCGCGAACCGGAUUAGAUACCCGGGUAGUCCUAACUGUAAACGAUGCGGACUUGGUGUUGGGGUGGCUUUGAGCUGCUCCAGUGCCGAAGGAAGCUGUUAAGUCCGCCGCCUGGGAAGUACGGUCGCAAGACUGAAACUUAAAGGAAUU
rnacentral:rRNA from 1 species